UCGUGACCUGGGAUUUUUGAGUCAGCUUUGGGGACGGGGAGGUCCAGGCUGUGCCCCCUUAGGCCCCAUGUAGGGAGAGCCUCAUUUUUGUUCACAGUGCUGAGGUCCACAGGACAGAGCAGCCCCAGGGUGAAUUGUAUCACUUGUCCAUUGUGCCUUCUGUGUCUUUUGUGCCUCUCCUGUUGUAUGUGCCUCGCCUUAUUUCUUCUGGGGGCUAACCAGAAACCCCGGCGUCACUCCUUGCAUCUGAUCUCUGGGCUCCUCGGCCCGAUGCCAUCGAAGUUUUGCCUCAGGAGCUCGCAGAGGCCUUGGAAUCGCGUCUCUCUUGAAAAGCAUCCGAUCGGAUGUCUUUUAGAGGUCUUGUUCUGAGCUGUGUCAACAGCCGUGCGCCGUGAGGAUCCAUUGUUGCGGCUUAGGUCUUGAAGAAACACAAAGAUAGGUAGAGGACUGUGGCCCUAAAAUUCUCGGGCAUCCGUCUUGGCAGUUGCUGGAGUUCGUCAUUCCGUCAGCAUCUUCUUCCUCCCGGGUUCUGCGAGCUUCAUCAGCUCGCCUUCAUUCUCACCCGGCUCAUCUCGUUCCGCGUUCUCUCGGUCCUUGUGGCCAUUCUUGUGGCCCAGAGUUUUGUCUCCCCGUUGUGUCCCCUCGUCUGUUGUCUUGUGUGUCACGGGUGUCUGGGUGUAGUUGUCCCGGAGCUGCUCUGUCCUGCUGCCCAGCCUGGCUGCCCAGCCCUGCCCAGCCUGCAGCCAAGUCCCAGGCCCCUGUAAUUUGAAAUUUGUGAUGUAGGGUGUAGUUGGAGUCUAGCGGGUGUUCCUAGAUGGACACAAGAUGUGUGGAGCUGUAAAGUUACCCUGCAGCACUUUGACUUUUGUCUCAGCUUUCUUUCAGAUGCGGACGGAUGAAAUCGGUGGCAGAGCGCCCCAUCCAGGGUAAGGGGGUUCCCCCGAGAAGGUAAGUCAAUGUUUGUCUUUGCGGGGCAACUGGAACCGGUCACUGUGUUACAGGUCUCCUCUUUGUCUUUAUUUUUAGGAAGUGAAGCCGGCUAGCAGCGGUCAAGGCGAAGCGGGCAAGGCGGUCCAGUCACGUUUCGUCGAGACACCCUCGUCAACCGGCCGGCACAGCUGCUUCGCCGCUCCCGUGAGCCCUGCGGAAGCGUUACGGGGACUGUGGGACGAAGCCUUUUCCACGUAAAGGGGCCGUGUGGGUGGCCUUCAGGAACGGGCCGAGGGGUUGCCGCGCACCCUGCGACGACGGCGUCUGGCUCCCGGUGUGGAUGAAGGGCGCGGCCUCAGGACGCGGCCGUUCGCAGGAAACCGUGA